rnacentral:rRNA from 1 species
GACGAACGCUGGCGGCGUGCUUAACACAUGCAAGUCGAGCGGUAAGGCCCUUUCGGGGGUACGACGAGCGGCGAACGGGUGAGUAACACGUGGGUGACCUGCCCUCAGCUCUGGGAUAAGCCUGGGAAACCGGGUCUAAUACUGGAUAUGACUCCAUGACGCAUGUUGUGGGGUGGAAAGCCUUGUGCGGCUGAGGAUGGGCCCGCGGCCUAUCAGCUUGUUGGUGGGGUGANGGCCUACCAAGGCGACGACGGGUAGCCGGCCUGAGAGGGCGACCGGCCACACUGGGACUGAGACACGGCCCAGACUCCUACGGGAGGCAGCAGUGGGGAAUAUUGGACAAUGGGCGCAAGCCUGAUCCAGCGAUGCCGCGUGUGUGAAGAAGG